AACGAACGCUGGCGGCAGGCUUAACACAUGCAAGUCGAACGCCCCGCAAGGGGAGUGGCAGACGGGUGAGUAACGCGUGGGAACAUACCCUUUUCUACGGAAUAGCUCUGGGAAACUGGAAUUAAUACCGUAUACGCCCUACGGGGGAAAGAUUUAUCGGGGAAGGAUUGGCCCGCGUUGGAUUAGCUAGUUGGUGGGGUAAAGGCCUACCAAGGCGACGAUCCAUAGCUGGUCUGAGAGGAUGAUCAGCCACAUUGGGACUGAGACACGGCCCAAACUCCUACGGGAGGCAGCAGUGGGGAAUAUUGGACAAUGGGCGCAAGCCUGAUCCAGCCAUGCCGCGUGAGUGAUGAAGGCCUUAGGGUUGUAAAGCUCUUUCACCGAUGAAGAUAAGGACGGUAGUCGGAGAAGAAGCCCCGGCUAACUUCGU
rnacentral:rRNA from 1 species